rnacentral:rRNA from 1 species
UUCUUGGAUUNUUGAAGACUAACUACUGCGAAAGCAUUUGCCAAGGAUGUUUUCAUUAAUCAAGAACGAAAGUUAGGGGAUCGAAGACGAUCAGAUACCGUCGUAGUCUUAACCAUAAACUAUGCCGACUAGGGAUCGGAUGAUGUUAAUUUUUUAAUGACUCA